ACCGAAGAGAGGAGGUGGUUCGGAGCAUGUAUGCACACCGGACGUCGGAGGUGGCUGCGGGCUAACGCCCGUCACCACACCCAGUGCGGUGCCGGACCAGCGUGUGUGCACACACGCAGCCGGCCAAUCCCACGCAGUCACCCGACCCGCGAGCUCGCCGGUACGUCCGGCCGGCCCCCGCCGACAGGCGGAGGACCAGAGCUCGCGGGUCGUCUGCG
rnacentral:sRNA from 1 species